rnacentral:tRNA from 1 species
GGGAAUGUGGCUUAGUGGUAGAGUGCUUGCCUCCCAUGCAUGAAGGCCUGGGUUCCAUUUCUCAGUACCA